AUUGAACGCUGGCGGCAGGCCUAACACAUGCAAGUCGAACGGUAACAGGAAGAAGCUUGCUUCUUUGCUGCCGAGUGGCGGACGGGUGAGUAAUGUCUGGGAAACUGCCUGAUGGAGGGGGAUAACUACUGGAAACGGUAGCUAAUACCGCAUAACGUCGCAAGACCAAAGAGGGGGACCUUCGGGCCUCUUGCCAUCGGAUGUGCCCAGAUGGGAUUAGCUAGUAGGUGGGGUAACGGCUCACCUAGGCGACGAUCCCUAGCUGGUCUGAGAGGAUGACCAGCCACACUGGAACUGAGACACGGUCCAGACUCCUACGGGAGGCAGCAGUGGGGAAUAUUGCACAAGGGGCGCAAGCCUGAUGCAGCCAUGCCGCGUGUAUGAAGAAGGCCUUCGGGUUGUAAAGUACUUCCAGCGGGGAGGAAGGGAGUAAAGUUAAUACCGUUGCUCAUUGACGUUACCCGCAGAAGAAGCACCGGCUAACUCCGU
rnacentral:rRNA from 1 species